UACGUAGGUGGCAAGCGUUGUUCGGAAUUACUGGGCGUAAAGCGCGCGUAGGCGGCUCUUCAAGUCAGGCGUGAAAGCCCCGGGCUUAACUCGGGAACUGCGCUUGAUACUGUCGAGCUAGAGUGUGGAAGGGGCGAUUGGAAUUCCGUGUGUAGCGGUGAAAUGCGUAGAUAUACGGAGGAACACCGGUGGCGAAGGCGGCAUCCUGGACCGGUAUUGACGCUGAGGCGCGAAAGCCAGGGGAGCAAACGGG
rnacentral:rRNA from 1 species